UUGAUUUAGGAUUUAGGAUUUGAUUAGGGUUUGAUUUAUGAUUUAGGAUUUGGUUAGGAUUUGGUUUAGAAUUUAGGAUUUGGUUAGGAUUUGAUUUAGGAUUACGAUUUGGUUAGGAUUUGAUUUAGGAUUUAAGAUUUGAUUAAGAUUUGAUUUAGGAUUAGGAUUUGAUUAGGAUUUGAUUUAGAAUUUAGGAUUUGAUUAGGAUUUGUUAAGGGAUUAAUAUUUAGUUAGUUUUUGACCUAAAUUUUGAAUGAAGUCUAAUAGGAUUUUAACUAGGAUUAAAUUAAGAUUGAAUUAAGAUAUAUUUGAGAUAUAUUUGUAAUCAUUCAAAUAUUUUUUUAAGAUUUUUUAUUAUUUCUUUGUAAUUCUUUUGAGGUUUCUUUGAAUUUGAUUAAAGCUCCCUUAGCAUUAUUAUGGUCUAAUUAGAAUUUAAUUAGUAUUCUAUUAGAGUUAGGAUUUUGUUGUUGUAAUUUCCAUUCUACCUUCUACAACCAAGUAUCCAGAGCAUUCUCAAGCAAGACUACAUA
rnacentral:lncRNA from 1 species